rnacentral:rRNA from 1 species
UACGUAGGUGACGAGCGUUAUCCGGAAUUACUGGGCGUAAAGGGCUCGUAGGUGGCCAACUAAGUCAGACGUGAAAUCCCUCAGCUUAACUGGGGAACUGCGUCUGAUACUGGAUGGCUUGAGUUUGGGAGAGGGAUGCGGAAUUCCAGGUGUAGCGGUGAAAUGCGUAGAUAUCUGGAGGAACACCGGUGGCGAAGGCGGCAUCCUGGACCAAUACUGACACUGAGGAGCGAAAGCCAGGGGAGCAAACGGG